rnacentral:misc_RNA from 1 species
AACGCAUAUUGCGCCCCUUGUUACAGAGGGGCAUGCCUGUCUGAGUGUCUUUUAAACCGUAGACUUCCGUCUGUUUUGGGCCUCGCGUUUCCGCGUCGCCUCGAAGCCAUUGCUGUCGAGCGGAUGAGAUCCGUCGGGACGACGCCGCUUCGACUCCAGCGCCUCUCUCUGACAGACCUCAGAUCAGGUAGGACUACCGCCUGAACUUAA